rnacentral:rRNA from 1 species
AUGAGUGCAACCACUUUCCGAUAUCUUAUAUCCUUGGCAGUGCAAAAUCGUCUAUCUAUGCAGUUGAUGGACGUCGUGACCGCAUACCUCUACGGGUCACUAGAUUCGGACAUAUAUAUGAAGGUUCCUGAUGGAAUCUUUGUCCCGAAUAAAAAUGCAAAACGCAACAUGUAUUGUGUAAAGCUGAAUAAGUCAUUAUAUGGCUUAAGGCAGUCGGGACGGAUGUGGUACAACCAACUCAGUGAGUUCCUUCUUCAGAAAGGUUACUCCAAUAGUACUGAUUGCCCAUGUGUUUUCAUCAAGAAGUCCUCUACAGGAUUUUGCAUCAUUUCUGUGUAUGUUGACGAUCUCAACAUCAUCGGCAGCACACCAGACAUUGAUGAAGCACGCAAUCACCUAAAGAUGGAAUUUGAGAUGAAGGAUUUGGGUAAAACCAAAUUUUGCUUAGGUAUUCAACUUGAGCAUCUUCCCUCAGGAAUCAUGGUACACCAAUCUACCUAUAUCCAGAAAAUAUUGGAGAAAUUCAAUAUGGACAAAUCCUAUCCAUCUAAAACUCCCAUGGUGGUUCGAUCUCUAGACAUAGAGAAAGAUCCGUUUAGACCAAGGGAUGAUGGAGAAGAGGUGUUGGGACCUGAAGUUCCAUACCUUAGUGCUGUUGGAGCGCUUAUGUAUCUUGCAAAUUGCACAAGACCUGAUAUUGCAUUUGCAGUGAAUCUACUUGCUAGACAUAGCACAGCUCCCACCAAACGUCAUUGGUCUGGAGUGAAGAAUAUCUUUCGAUAUCUCCAAGGCACAAAGGAUCUUGGCCUAUUUUUCCAGUCCCAGAAAAAUCCGGACUCUGAUAUGAUUGGAUAUGCAGAUGCCGGUUAUUUGUCUGAUCCCCAUAAUGCCAGAUCUCAGACCGGCUUCAUGUUCCUACAUGGUGGCACUGCUAUAUCAUGGAAGUCUUCGAAACAGACUCUGGUGGCAACAUCUACCAAUCAUUCUGAAAUAAUUUCAUUAUUUGAAGCAACAUGCGAAUGUGUAUGGCUUCGCAGAAUGAUAAACCACAUACAACAGUCAUGUGGAAUGGGCUCGAUAAAAUCACCUACCAUUAUCUAUGAAGAUAAUGCGGCCUGUGUUGCACAGAUGCAAACAGGAUACAUCAAGAGUAAUAUCACCAAGCAUAUUUCUCCUAAAUGGUUUUUCCCCCAUAAUCUUCAGAAAAGCGGGGAAAUAAGCAUUCUGCAAGUCAAAUCAUGCGACAACCUUGCUGAUUUAUUUACCAAGUCUCUACCACAUUCUACAUUCCAGAAAUGUGUUCAUGGAAUUGGUAUGCGAAGACUUAGGGACUUGCAGGUGUCAGGGGGAGUCUCUUCUUGA